GAUGAAGAACGUAGCGAAAUGCGAUAAGUAAUGUGAAUUGCAGAAUUCAGUGAAUCAUCAAAUCUUUGAACGCACAUUGCGCCCGUCAGUAUUCUGGCGGGCAUGCCUGUUCGAGCGUCAUUACGCCCCUCAAGUCCCCUGUGGACUUGGUGUUGGGGAUCGGCGAGGCUGGUUUUCCAGCACAGCCGUCCCUUAAAUUAAUUGGCGGUCUCGCCGUGGCCCUCCUCUGCGCAGUAGUAAAACACUCGCAACAGGAGCCCGGCGCGGUCCACUGCCGUAAAACCCCCCAACUUUUUAUAGUUGACCUCGAAUCAGGUAGGACUACCCGCUGAACUUAAGCAUAUCAAUAAGCGGAGGA
rnacentral:misc_RNA from 1 species